rnacentral:rRNA from 1 species
GACGAACGCUGGCGGCGUGCUUAACACAUGCAAGUCGAACGGAAAGGCCCGGCGUUUGUGGGGUGCUCGAUUGGCGAACGGGGGAGUAACACGUGAGGAACCUGCCCUUGACUUUGGGAUAACUUCAGGAAACUGGGGCGAAUACCGGAGAGGAGCUCCUGCUGCAUGUGGGGGGUUGGAAAGUUUCGGCGGUUGGGGAUGGACUGGCAGCUUAUCAGCUUGUUGGUGGGGUAGUGGCUUACCAAGGCUUUGACGGGUAGCCGGCCUGAGAGGGUGACCGGCCACAUUGGGACUGAGAUACGGCCCAGACUCCUACGGGCGGCAGCAGUGGGGAAUAUUGCACAAUGGGCCGACGCCUGAUGCAGCAACGCCGCGUGCGGGAUGACGGCCUUCGGGUUGUAAACCGCUUUCGCCUGUGACGAAGCGUGAGUGACGGUAAUGGGUAAAGAAGCACCGGCUAACUACGUG